GGCUGAGCAGGGACCAGGUAUGAAUCAAUAAAACCUGCAGCCCAGGAGAUAAAAGAAUGCCUUACUUCCUUUGCUCUAAUAGCCAAGAAAUGAAAGACUACCUGCCAGCUGCAACAAAGGCGUGCUGUCUGUCAAUUCCUGCUUCUUCCUCCUUCCAGGCCAGGAGGAAAUGGAGUCUGCCAGCAUGCUAAAGAUGGGACUUGACAUUCAAAAAUGCCUGUGCUUUCAUUUUUCUGCCUCCUGGUUAAGAUAAUUUUCUGGUCACAGAAUUGCAACCAGAACAGGGAAAAGAAAAAGAAUCUUAACCAUUCGACAACUGAAGAACUACAAAGAAACU